CCUACGGGAGGCAGCAGUCGAGAAUCAUUCACAAUGGGGGAAACCCUGAUGGAGCGACGCCGCGUGGGGGAAUGAAGGUCUGCGGAUUGUAAACCCCUGUCAUGUGGGAGCAAAUUAAAAAGAUAGUACCACAAGAGGAAGAGACGGCUAACUCUGUGCCAGCAGCCGCGGUAAUACAGAGGUCUCAAGCGUUGUUCGGAAUCACUGGGCGUAAAGCGUGCGUAGGCUGUUUCGUAAGUCGUGUGUGAAAGGCGCGGGCUCAACCCGCGGACGGCACAUGAUACUGCGAGCCUAGAGUAAGGGAGGGGGAACCGGAAUUCUCGGUGUAGCCGUGAAAUGCGUAGAUAUCGGGAGGAACACUCGUGGCGAAGGCGGGUUCCUGGACAUUAACUGACGCUGAGGCACGAAGGCCAGGGGAGCGAAAGGGAUUAGAUACCCUUGUAGUC
rnacentral:rRNA from 1 species